CUCCCUUCAUCCCCGGCCGAGGAUGAGUGACGUCUUCUCCUGCCUCCCUCCUCUCCCAUCGGGGGCUGCGGACACAGAAGGUCAAGGUUUGUGACUGAAACAUCAACUGAAGAACUGAGAACGAGCAGACAAACCUGAUGGAUGCAGAGCGCGGCCGGUGUUCACGGGAGUCCAUCACCCAGCCGAUGUGGGCUUCCUGAGGAGGGUUCGAACUGUGGCUGGUUUUCUUCUUCCUCGGCGUCUGGAAAUCACAACAACAGAUUUAUGACAUUUCAUGUUACAAAGAGAUGCUUUAUAAGAGAGGACGCUCCGAGCUUUUAGCUAUAGGAUGAUAACUGGCAUAGUGGAUUAAAGUGCUACUGAUGGUUUGUUAUCUAAAAGACUGUUUUCCAGGCAAUUUAGUCUCUUACAAGCUCAGUGUUGACAUCUAAAAAAAUAAAAUGAGGCCUUUAAACCCUCACUGAGUGUGCAAAAAUA